UUUUCUUCCCGGAAGUUUCAACAAAACUUACCUUUAGCCUAAUUUGAAUAUUCCGGACAUUUUUCGUGUUUUGACUUUUUCGAUCCGGAGUACGGAUUUCCCUGGAGUCGGUCCGGCGGAGUUUUUCGGGUACUAAAAUUGUCGAUAAUUAUCCAGUUUGUCUCGAUAAACGUGAAACGAGAUAUUUUCAUCAUCCUUAUCAUGUAAUAAUUGCAGUGGGACCCGCAGACCAAUAAUUGAGUUAAAAAGCCCCGUUUUGAUGAUUAUCUUGAAAACUAGUACCGAUUGGACCCCACUUUCUUAAUAUAAAGCUAUUAAAUACGUAUUUUCAUGCCAUAAACGAUCCAAAGGGGUACCAAUUAUUUGUAAAUAUAAAUAUCCCUUUCUAGAGCUUAUUUUCACCCGUAAAAUCAUUUCACCAGUUUCUCUGCACGAAUACCGAGAGAAACCGAGCGGCGUUCUUCGUGUUCUUCAUAAUCAAACGAGGAUUUGAAGGCGUUAUUGGAGUCAGAAUCAAGCGUGCAAAUAGCCAAAACGAAGAUAUCGAGGAGUAGAAUCCAUAUCAAUGAUCAAAAACAACCUGAGAUUCACAGGAUUUGGACGAGACGUGUACGCUCGAAGACGUCAGAAAGUCAGAAUGGUAUUGCAAAGCGAAUAAGGGAUGAUUGAGUAAGCGAAGCGAAGUGGCGAAUAGAGUAUAGCUAGAGAUGGUCUAGAGAUUACGAGAUGCCUAGAUUGUGAAAGUGGAAAGAUGAGAUAGAGAUGUGAGACUGGAGUCAGAUUUAAGAAAAGCUUAAAGAUGAGAUGAUUGAUUGAGAUUGUGGAUAAGGCUAAUGCUAGGCGAGGAGACAGAGUUGAGGAGGAGACAGAGUUGAGGAUCCAGUGGUCAGGGAGUGGUGAGGAAAGUUGAUGAGAUUGGUGCAAGCUGGAAUAGUUGACAGUGAUUCUUCUUAUCGAAGAUGAUCUGACUUGGUAAGAAAUAUUGUAUAGUAUUAGUGGUGGAUUCUAAUUUCAAUACUGUAACCUGGAAGCGAUCCUGUUGUUUUGGGGGUUAAAUGUUCUCUUAAAAUUUUCUUAUUAUGGUUUUCAAGUUUGAAAUUCAGGUUUUGAAAUCAUUUGAUUUAUGUUCUCAUUCAAAGUUUUUAUUAAAUGUUUUCAAGUUUUAAAUU